CCCCGUAUUUGAAAGUGAUUGUGGACUGCCUGUACCCUGAUCAUUGAUAGUGUAGGGAGAGGAUACAGAAGCCUUUCCCCUUGUUCAGAGGGUUCACUGUUGUCCUUAACAAACGUGAUGCUUUCCCACA
ensembl:snoRNA SNORA71 Small nucleolar RNA SNORA71